rnacentral:lncRNA from 1 species
CAGCCUCAGUUUCCCUCUCUGGGAAACGAGGGUAAUGGUGCCUCCUGUAUCAGGCUAUGAUGGCGGUGGAAAGAUUCUGUGAUAACUUCACAGAGCCCGGCCAGAUGACAGCUGGUCCUGUGAUUGCAAGCAGGCAUGCCCUAGGGAGGAGGUGGUAGUUAAAGACCUGUUCUCGGGGAUCAACUGGAAAGCACACAGAACCCCCGAAGUAGCUGGCCCAGCUGAGCCCCACUCUCUUUACCACAUCCCUUCUCUCCUUCACUGAGGCUUAGGACCUCUAUCUCUAGAUAGUUCUAGUUCUUUCUCUGUAAUAAAUAUUUGUCAUCUGCAGCCUUAAUCAAUCACAGUGAGAGGCAUAUCUGUGAAGUGUGCAGCCAAGGUCCUUGGAAGGUCCUGGAGGCGAAGUUGGAGAGGAAGUACUGGCCUGAGGCCAAGGGCAGCAAAGAGUGAAAAGGGGCCGGGGACAGUGUACAGAGCAGUGGCUGGCUUGUCUCCACUAUCAGACUUUACUCCAGGAGGAGGCAGAGGCCGUGUGAGAGCCGUGCCGCUUCACCUGGCUCCUGACCUAUAUUGGAAGUGACAAACACGGGCUCCGAAAUGCUUACAAGGCACCUUGCCGGCAAGCACUGUGAAGUGAACAGAAAAUGAGACUAGAUGCUGAGCAAGUCCCACAAACUGUGUGCCCAAGCUCUGGACAGAGCAGAUAGACACAGUCUUCCUCUGAACUAUGCUUGCUGCAGUCCCUCCACCAGCAUGGAGAAGAAGCUCACAAGGACUGUCCUUCAAGCCUAUAUCCAUGCUCAGCUGUGCCAGCAUCUCUGGGCCUCAGGAACACCGAAGUCCUCAUUCUGAGCCAGGUAGGCCCACACAUGUCCCAGACGGUUACAUUCCUUCCUGGCUAGAGGCUUUUGUCACCC